CAGUCGCCACGGUAAUACGUAGGGUGCAAGCGUUAAUCGGAAUUACUGGGCGUAAAGCGUGCGAAGGCGGUUAUAUAAGACAGAUGUGAAAUCCCCGGGCUCAACCUGGGAACUGCAUUUGUGACUGUAUAGCUAGAGUACGGCAGAGGGGGAUGGAAUUCCGCGUGUAGCAGUGAAAUGCGUAGAUAUGCGGAGGAACACCGAUGGCGAAGGCAAUCCCCUGGGCCUGUACUGACGCUCAUGCACGAAAGCGUGGGGAGCAAACAGGAUUAGAUACCCGAGUAGUCCCUGUCUCUUAUAC
rnacentral:rRNA from 1 species